UUCAUUGUUAACAUAUAUCUUUCUAAUCAUCCCAUAUGGCUAGUGGGAGUUUGUUUUUCCCCCAAAUGGUCACAGGCUUGUCAAUGAAUGUUGCUACACAACAAGCAAACAAACAAACAAACAAACAGAAAUACCAAAACAAAACCACCCAAAAAAUUUGCCAUUGUGUGCCUCUUAAAAUUUACAGUCAAAGGACAUGGCAGGCUGAAAGAGAGUUAAGUCACCUUCUCUUUUGGUAAGCUGAAAAUGCCUCUAUUCGAUUCUGAAAUGCUCGCAGGUCCUAUGAAAUUAUGGCACACUCCUAAAGCUGGCUGGUGCACUGCAGGACCAGUUUCAGCCUUUGCUGUCUGGAGCCCUGUCCCAGUCCACUCUUCCUUGCCUUACCCUGGCCUUAGCUUUGCCCCUUGCUGUGAUUUGCAAGUCAGUGCUCUGAGGGUUUUCUUGUGGCAUGCCUAUGCAAAGGCUUUCCUCUCAGAGAGAAACAGGGAGGCUUUACUGCUAUUCUAGCCUCUUUGUCCUGCCAUAUAGUGUGCCUUGCAGAUAGCCAGCUGUAGUAUAAUUAAGCUAGAUUUUAGGCGCUUAAUCAGGCUCAGCAAAAUACCCUGGUUUGUCACAUUCCUUCCUGCUGAAAUCAGAACAUAGCUUUAAGUCUGCACUGCCUCUACUGUACCUGUUAGUAACUGCUGGCAGCUGGCAAGAGCUUCAUCUGAAUUUGGAUUCACUAGGAGAUUAUUUAAGAUACUUUUCUUUCAAAACAAGUACUGUACCGUAUCUGAGACUUUUCAGUACAUUUAUUUGUCAAAUAUGCAUAUGUAUGUGUCUACAUACAUAAUUUCCUCAUAAAUUCAGUAGUCUUAGAUAAAUGGAAUGUAGAGAUAAUACAGCUUCAUGCACGAAACACUGUUUACAGAGGGCCAGUCUCUUAUCUCCUGUGAAUUGACAUAAUUGCAACAAUAUUAUGCUAGUUGGGGCUUUUUUGGCAAGAAUUCAUGACAGUUACAUAAUUCAUUACAGCCUAUUCUAACCUACUGAAAUCUAUGCAUAUUUUUAGGCGUAGCUUGUACAUUCUCAGUGAUUUCUGCUCUGAAUUCCCUACGGAUGUGCCCUCAGGUCCCCCCUGGGUAUGCUUCUGUCACCGUGUCACUUUGAGAGUCACUGUUGCAAUUCUUCCACCUAUACAAUUCUCAUAGAAGUCAGUGCAGUGUUUAGAUGCACAUAUGUAAUAGGGCUGGAUGUUGGUCAAAGCACACUAGGUCCUGAGCUCUCUUAACAGUCCCUCACACACACUUCCAAUUACCAAGUGUUGUGAGCCUGAGCCUCACCUGAUGUGAACCCCUGGAGUUGGUGUUUUUAUGCACCUGCUAAGAUAUCAAAUUUAUGAUGAGUUACACCACUUAAAGCUUUCAAAAAUUGUUUAUCUGGAUAUUAAAAAAAUAUCAAGUAUCUGGACAAUAUUAGAUUUUUAAAAGAACAAAAAUUCUGCAUUCUUUUGUGAGUAUGGAGAGGUCUUUCUCCACUUCUUCCCCCAUUAGCUUUCCACCUGACUCUUCUACGGGGCUGGGAGUUGUUCCUGAGGAAGUUUGACUUACAGCUGUGACAGUAACCUACAGUCAGGUAGGAGAUGUUUGAACUGCCCUCUUCUGCACAUCCUCAGUGAGCUAUGCCGGUCCUCGGGAAGCAACCUCUCUCACCUGAGGGCACAGUAGAUCUACAUGACUGCUCUCUCACUGCUUUGGUUCUGUUUCAAGACUGUGCUGGAGGAACGAGAGGAGUGAGGGAAGAUUAAGUGUACAGCCUGCCUCCUCCUUUGCCCUGCUGAACUAGGGAGAAGGGCAUCGCCGGGAAGCAGAGUAACAGGAGUAAAGACACAAAAAGGGGAGGCGGCUGUCUGUGCAGGGGAUGUACUGGAUUAUCACUCUGCAUAUUGUUGUCCAAAGGAAUUCUACAUACUUCUGACCAGUGAGGAGACAGCUUUGUUUGGCUAAAUUUUGUUUUGCUACAUGGAAAGAAAUUAGUUCACAUCAAAGUUGCACUAACUUCAGUGACAGAUGGCAAACUUGACUGGCUGAGGAGAGAUAGUACCCUAGAGCCAAAACUCAAGCUGAAUUACCAAGACACUAGAUUUGAAUAAGUAGAAAAAAGGAAACAAACUUCAUGGAAGGAAGAUAUUCAAUGUACAAUGGCGAGUUUAUUGAUGACAUGGUUAUUAUAUGCUGAAAAUAACAAACGUGUUGUUUGCACAGAAGACAGAAUUUCUGAAGAACACAAUGCAUGAUCUUGUGUUUUAGUCUGUUUAGAAAACAGCAUUUAUGAGAGUUAAAAUCUAGGGUGAUAGCCUGAUUAAUUUAGAUUGAUGCUGAAGGUAUUGUGGAGAAAAAAAACCCUUUCUAUUUUAUUAAAGAAUAAGUUACCUAAUAUUUCAGGUGGAGAAGUAAUUAUGUUGUGUCACUUUUUACCCAUUUGCUCUUUGUCUUUAUACAAUAUUGGCCAUGAUGAGGACAGUAGAAACUUUACAAAAUAUGAUGUUAUCUUUUAAGAAUAUAAAAACAAAUUCUAAAAGAUGUGAAACCAAAGCAAAUGGUAAUAAAGGGAAGUAGGUUGAGUGAACAGACAAAUAAGUAUUUAAUGAAAUUUUCUUUCAAAAACACUCUCUCUUCCAGAUAUUUAAACAGUGGGAUUUUAUUUCAAAAAUAAACUUACUGAACAUCUGUAAAAGUUAACAUGUGGUACAGACCUCUCUGCAGCAUGCAGUGGGUCUCUUCUGCAUUUUAUUGUGGUAUAACUAGAAUUAAUGUGGUCAUGCAGUAAAUUUUCAUAGACAUUCAUAAGUAAGUGUAUGCUAACUUGUGAUUGCUGAUGAUUUUUGAGACUGAAAGAUGUGAUACGUGAAAAAUGUAAAGGUUAUUUGUGCAGAUAAUUACUGUUUUAAAAAGUUCCAUAUCUUUCAACACAUAUAAGUAUUUCUAGAAAGAGGAUUAUUUCCCUUUAUUCCCUUAUUAUUAAUCUGUGCCCAUUAUAUCUGUUAUGGACUAGAAUCUCCAUUGUAAAACUUAAAAAAAAUCAGCCUCUUACUGGCAAUAGAAAUAACUUCAUAGCAUGCGUGAGGAUGAAGCACAUCACUUCUGGCCAAAAAUUAUUGAUCUAUCCAAAGUUUAACAAAAGCAGUCAGUGAUUCGUUACUCAAAACAUAUCUAAAUGUUUGCAGACUACUGUUAACCCAUAGCCUAAUCAACAAAAAAUGAGGAGGAGUUACUGAGCAAUGCUCAAUCUAAGCAUUGCAUUGCUUAAUGACUCACACACAAAUGUUAUCUAAAGGUCCUUCAGCUCUCUCUUUCACUGCAGAGUUCAUUUGAAUAUGCCGCUUUUGAAUUACUCUCUUUUGAUUUGCCUAGCUUGGCUGAAGGUGUAUAUUACACAGUGGUAGUGUGUGAGUGGUCAGGUCUGGCCGAGAGUGCUUGGUGUACACAAUAGGAAGUCUUUGAGGUCAGAAGCAUGAGCACAAAAAAAAUACUGAUGGAGAAAUUCCUUCUUUCUUAUGGACAUACAGAAGAAAUUGCAAGACCCUGGAGACUGAGGGACUAUGUUGUCCCUAGCCGGCUUGUAUGAGUAGCUGCUGAGUUUUGCUUAAAUCUUUACCUGUAUUAUUUCUCAUGCUCACUGUCAAAAACUGAAAGCCUCCAUGUAUGCAUGUUAAAGGAUUUCUUACUAUGAACAGGACUAAAGUUAGGAGAAGAACUGGAAUAGAAACAGCCCUAUAGGAUACCUUGGGGUGGUUGGAAAGCAUGAUAUCAGCUUAUGAGAAUGUGUGGUGUCAGCUGAUUUUGAUGCACAGCCAGCAGGCAGUGUGUGACUUGCCACUCUUGUCCCAUGUGCACACUUGUGCCUUCUGUGGGUACAGUGCUGUACCAGGCGGGCUGAAGUUUAGUGAAGAGAGAAGCUCUGGUGUGCCUUUGAGGAAAAUACAGAAGAUUCUCCAGUUGUGCCUUCUGUUACACAUUUUUUAAAAAGCAUGUUGAAAUCACCACAGCUUUUAGGUGAAUUUCACCAGCCAAGUGAUGCACCUGGAAAUGUUGUGGUAUAAAUUCUGCCUGUUUGGUUGUCUCACAGAGUCUGUUCCUUUCUACUAAAAUUAUAGCCUGUCCUCUGUAACAGAUCAUGGGACCUAAGCACAAGCAUGUAUUUGGCAUCUUAUGGUGGUAUAUUUGUAGAGAACCUGGUAGUCUGUAGGAUUUUCUGUGUCCUAAGAAACCUGAUAUCUGUGCAUAAAAAUUAAUCUGUAGAUUGUGCUGAAAAAUCUGUAUUUUUUGUUUUCCUGUAGGAAAUCCCAAAAGAAAAAUUAAAAUAUUUUUCUAUUUGAAGGUUUUUGGUUG